GGCAAAGCUACAAAGGGCGUAUGGUGGAUGCCUUGGCAGAAGUUGCCUAGGAAGGGCGUGGCAAGCGACGAAACGCCUCGGGGAGCCGCAAGCAGGCUUUGAUCCGGGGGUGCCCGAAUUGGGAAACCUGCGCCGGAGUGAUGUCCGGCCACCGCGGAGCCAAUACAUAACUCCGUGGAGGGAACCGAGGGAAGUGAAACAUCUCAGUACCUCGAGGAAAAGAAAUCAAACGAGAUUCCCUGAGUAGUGGCGAGCGAAAAGGGAAUAGCCUAAACCGUUUCCAUGUGAUAGUCCGUUGACGUUGUGGAGACGGGGUCGAGGGUGCCGGCUUGGCGGAGCAGCGGAUCCGCCGAGGAGUUACCAACCGUCCUUCUAGCCGAAUUCGUCUUGAAAGGCGAGCCGUAGACGGUGACAGCCCGGUAGGCGAAAGAAGGAUGGCUCCUUGGGCCGGCUACCCGAGUACCACGGGACACGUGAAACCCUGUGGGAAUCUGGGAGGACCACCUUCCAAGGCUAAAUACAACUUCUGACCGAUAGUGAACCAGUACCGUGAGGGAAAGGUGAAAAGUACCCCGGGAGGGGAGUGAAAUAGUACCUGAAACCGUAUGCCUACGAGCGGUCGGAGCACUAUGUUUGGACGCAAGUCUAAACAGUGUCACGGCGUGCCUUUUGUAUAAUGAACCGGCGAGUUACUGUCUGUGGCAAGGUUAAUCCCCUAUGGGGAGGAGCCGUAGCGAAAGCGAGUCUUAAUAGGGCGACCAGUCGCGGGCAGUAGACCCGAAGCCAGGUGACCUACCCAUGGACAGGGUGAAACCUCGAUAAUAUCGAGAUGGAGGCCCGAACCGGUGUCGGUUGAAGACGGCUCGGAUGAGCUGUGGGUAGAGGUGAAAUGCCAAUCGUACCUGGGGAUAGCUGGUUCUCCCCGAAAUAGCUUUAGGGCUAGCCUCGAUCGGUCAGUUGCGGGGGUAGAGCACUGGAUGGGCUAGGGGCGCUAACGCGUUACUGAACCCAACCAAACUCCGAAUACCGUAACUUCGCAGAUCGGGAGUCAGACGGUGGGGGAUAAGCUUCAUCGUCAAGAGGGAAACAGCCCAGACCGCCGGCUAAGGUCCCCAAAGCAGGCUAAGUGGUAAAGGAGGUGGCACCGCCAAAACAGCCAGGAGGUUGGCUUAGAAGCAGCCAUCCUUUAAACAACGAGUAACAUCGGACUGGUCGAGUGGCGCUGCGCCGAAAAUUCAACGGGGCUCAAGCCUGCUACCGAAGCCGCGGACCCGCCUUCGCCGAAAGGCUAUGGCGGGUGGUAGGGGAGCGUUCCGCGCUGAGCGAAGGGAUACCGUAAGGAGUCCUGGACGGCGUGGAAGUGAUGAUGCCGGUAUAAGUAGCGAAAAAGAGAGUGAGAAUCUCUCUGGCCGAAAGUUUAAGGUUUCCUGGGGAAGGUUCGUCCGCCCAGGCUUAGCCGGGCCUAAGGUGAGGCCGAAAGGCGUAGCCGAUGGACAGACGGUCGAAAUUCCGUCGCCAGUGAGAGAUGCCAAAGACACGAAGGGGUGACGCCGUAGGGAUUGCCAGCGCAGGGUUGGAAGUGUGCGUUUGGGCUUGCAGAGGGGCGGAUAGGUAAAUCCGUCCGCCAUAUACCUCGAGGAGCCUGACGAGGCGGAGGAGACGAAGCCGAAGUGGCGUUACCGACGCGGCCAAGAAAAACCUCUAGUGAAUCUCUCACUGCCCGUACCGUAAACCGACACAGGUGAACGAGCAGAGAAUGCUAAGGCCCGCGAGAGAACCCUCGCUAAGGAACUCGGCAAAAUGACCCCGUAACCUCGGGAGAAGGGGUGCCCUUGCCUUUCUGAGGACUUGCUCCACAGAAGGGUGGGGGUCGCAGUGAAAUGGCCCAGGCGACUGUCUAACAAAAACACAGGUCUCUGCCAAGCCGCAAGGCGAAGUAUAGGGGCUGACGCCUGCCCAAUGCCAGUCAGUUAAGGGGAGUUGUUAUCCUGAUGCAAAUCAGGAAAAGCUGUGAACCGAAGCUCUGGUGAAUGGCGGCCGUAACUAUAACGGUCCUAAGGUAGCGAAAUUCCUUGUCGGGUAAGUUCCGACCUGCACGAAUGGCGUAACGAUCUGGGCGCUGUCUCGGCGAGGGACUCGGCGAAAUUGUAGCCCUUGUGAAGAUGCAAGGUACCCGCGACUGGACGGAAAGACCCCGUGGAGCUUUACUGCAGCCUGGUAUUGGAUAUCGGGGUCUCGUGCAGAGGAUAGGUGGGAGCCGGUGAAACCUCGAUUUUGGUCGGGGUGGAGGCAACCUUGGAAUACCACCCUCGAGAUUCUGACAUUCUAACCCUCGCCCGCAAUCGGGUCAGGGGAAAGUAUCAGGUGGGUAGUUUGACUGGGGCGGUCGCCUCCAAAAAGGUAACGGAGGCGUCCAAAGGUUCCCUCAGUGCGGUUGGAAAUCGCACGUUGAGUGUAAGGGCAGAAGGGAGCCUGACUGUGAGACCUACUAGUCGAACAGACACGAAAGUGGGGCCUAGUGACCCUGCCGUAGCAAGUGGAAGUGCGGUGGAUCAACGGAUAAAAGUUACCCCGGGGAUAACAGGCUAAUCUCCCCUGAGCGCCCACAGCGACGGGGAGGUUUGGCACCUCGAUGUCGGCUCGUCGCAUCCUGGGGCUGGAUAAGGUCCCAAGGGUUGGGCUGUUCGCCCAUUAAAGCGGCACGUGAGCUGGGUUCAGAACGUCGCGAGACAGUUCGGUCCCUAUCCGUCGUGGGCGUAGGAGGUCUGAGGGAAGCUGCCGCCAGUAUGAGAAGACCGCGGUGGACGAACCAAUGGUGUAUCAGUUGUCCCACCAGGGGCAAACGCUGAGUAGCCAGGUUCGGUCGGGAUAAGCGCUGAAAGCAUCUAAGCGCGAAGCCCUCCCCAAGACUAGACCUCCCAUCUCAGCUUCGGUUGAGAGUAAGGCCGCAGGUAGACUACCUGCUUGAUAGGCCGGAGGUGUAAGCCCAGUAAUGGGUUCAGCUGACCGGUACUAAUAGGCCGAGGGCUUU
rnacentral:rRNA from 1 species